CUACGGGGGGCAGCAGUAGGGAAUCUUAGACAAUGGGGGGAACCCUGAUCUAGCCAUGCCGCGUGAGUGAUGAAGGCCUUAGGGUUGUAAAGCUCUUUCGCUGGGGAAGAUAAUGACGGUACCCAGUAAAGAAACCCCGGCUAACUCCGUGCCAGCAGCCGCGGUAAUACGGAGGGGGUUAGCGUUGUUCGGAAUUACUGGGCGUAAAGCGCGCGUAGGCGGGCUAUUAAGUCAGGGGUGAAAUCCCGGGGCUCAACCCCGGAACUGCCUUUGAUACUGGUAGUCUUGAGUUCGAGAGAGGUGAGUGGAAUUCCGAGUGUAGAGGUGAAAUUCGUAGAUAUUCGGAGGAACAUCAGUGGCGAAGGCGACUCACUGGCUCGAUACUGACGCUGAGGUGCGAAAGUGUGGGGAGCAAACAGGAUUAGAUACCCUUGUAGUC
rnacentral:rRNA from 1 species